rnacentral:rRNA from 1 species
GACGAACGCUGGCUGCGUGCUUAACACAUGCACGUCGAACGGAGUGGCGAACGGGUGAGUAACACGUGGGUGAUCUGCCUUGCACUUCGGGAUAAGCUUGGGAAACUGGGUAUAAUACAGGAUAGUGCAAGAUGAGCUCGCGGCCUGGCAGCUUGUUGGUGUGGUAAUGGCCUACCAAGGCGUCGACGGGUAGCCGGCAUGAGAGGGUGUAGGGCCAACUUGGGACUGUGCUACGGCCCGGACUCCUACGGGAGGCAGCAGUGGGGAAUAUUGCACAAUGGGCGGAAGCCUGAUGCAGCGCCGCCGGGUGGGGGAUGAAGGCCUUCGGGUUGUAAACUCCUUUCGACAGGGACGCGGUACCUGUAUAAGAAGCACCGGCUAACUACGUGCCAGCAGCCGCGGUAAUAC